AGGGUUUGAUCAUGGCUCAGAUUGAACGCUGGCGGCAGGCCUAACACAUGCAAGUCGAGCGGUAACAGGAGAAAGCUUGCUUUCUUGCUGACGAGCGGCGGACGGGUGAGUAAUGUAUGGGGAUCUGCCCGAUAGAGGGGGAUAACUACUGGAAACGGUGGCUAAUACCGCAUAAUGUCUACGGACCAAAGCAGGGGCUCUUCGGACCUUGCACUAUCGGAUGAACCCAUAUGGGAUUAGCUAGUAGGUGGGGUAAAGGCUCACCUAGGCGACGAUCUCUAGCUGGUCUGAGAGGAUGAUCAGCCACACUGGGACUGAGACACGGCCCAGACUCCUACGGGAGGCAGCAGUGGAGAAUAUUGCACAAUGGGCGCAAGCCUGAUGCAGCCAUGCCGCGUGUAUGAAGAAGGCCUUAGGGUUGUAAAGUACUUUCAGCGGGGAGGAAGGUGAUAAGGUUAAUACCCUUAUCAAUUGACGUUACCCGCA
rnacentral:rRNA from 1 species